rnacentral:rRNA from 1 species
GCGCGUAGACGGUUUUGUAAGUCAGAUGUGAAAUCCCUGGGCUCAACCUGGGAACUGCAUUUGAGACUGCAUGGCUAGAGUAUCGAAGAGGGAAGUGGAAUUUCCGGUGUAGCGGUGAAAUGCGUAGAUAUCGGAAGGAACACCAGUGGCGAAAGCGACUUCCUGGUCGAAUACUGACGUUCAUGUGCGAAAGCGUGGGGAGCAAACAGGAUUAGAUACCCUGGUAGUCCACGCCAUAAACGAUGACAACUAGAUGUUGGGAAGGUCUGCCUCUCGGUGUCGCACCUAACGCGUUAAGUUGUCCGCCUGGGGAGUACGGCCGCAAAGUUGAAACUCAAAGGAAUUGACGGGAACCCGCACAACCGGUGGAGCAUGUGGUUUAAUUCAAUGCAACGCGAAAAACCUUACCUACCCUUGACAUGCCUGGAAUCCUGCAAAGAUGUGGGAGUGCUCGAAAAAAAACCACGACACAGGUGCUGCAUGGCCGUCGUCAGCUCGUGUCGUGAGAUGUUGGGUUAAGUCCCGCAACGAGCGCAACCCUUGUCAUUAGUU